rnacentral:tRNA from 5 species
GGGCCCGUAGCUCAGUUGGUAGAGCAACUGACUUUUAAUCAGUAGGUCACAGGUUCGAUCCCUGUCGGGCUCACCA